rnacentral:lncRNA from 1 species
CGAUCGAUAAAACGAAUUCUUUCUAAGAUUAGUACUUCUAAUAAACAUUAGAAGCAUGAGUCAGGUUAUAACCAUACAAAUUCUUACACUAGUUUACUUUAUCAUUUCAAUUUUCAAGUUUACCGCUUACAAAAUUUAAACAGCUUGCUUGCUGCGAUGAAAUUCUUAAAAGGACUAAAUGACGUCACAGAAUAUAUCGUCACACAUGUUGGGUAAAUCUAAAACAUGAAACACAAUCCGUGAGUGGCCCCGGCGAUAACUGAAUUUAAGUCUAUUAACUUAAAUUCCAUUA